UGUCAUUGAAAGAAAAUUUAGACAAUUUAACAAAGAAAAAGCAACAGGGAAAAAAAAAAAAAAAUCAAACUAAAGCAGACAACACAAAAGAAACAAAAGAAUCGAAAAUGACCACCAAAACCAGAUAUCUGGAUACUUUCAUCAUUUCUCAGACAUCACUACAAGUGCUGGUGGAACCAAAUAUUUCACAGGCACUUUCCAACAACAGACAAAGCCACCAGAAAAAGAAUUGAGGCAGCCGCUACUGGUGGUGGUCCUCCACCUGAGGACCUCACCCCUGCGGAAGAGCUGGCGCUGAGCUGCAACCGGGGGUGUCCACUUUUAGAGGGAAUAGAGGGGGACGUCCUCAGAUGUCAUUCCCCAGGGAGCGCGGAAGCCAUAGAUUCAAGUGAGUGGUGACACGAUUUUGCUGAUGAAUCCCCCCCUCUCACGAUACUGAGGGCAUACCUGACCCAUGUGGAGAUGGCGCCAGUACAUCUAGGGCCCUUGAUGAGGACGCUGUAUCUGCAGAUAUAGAAAUGCCAGAGGAUGUGACUGGAACAAGGUGAUCUGCAAGGAAUGAAGACAUAAGAUCUAUUUACAAACGCCAUCUGCUCCUCCAAAUUGAAAACCAGGAACUUGAUGCAGAAUACAAGAAACUCAAAAUAAAAAAGCGGAAGCUGGAAAUCAAAACUGGAGAAGUAUAAAUUUAAACAACACAAAACCAAGGUUUGGACUGUAUUUAAUGCUUUCAUU